ACUUCAUUUUGUCCUCACAGCAAAACCAGAAAUGAGAAGCCUCAGUGAGAUUCCCCAUUUUACAGUGAGAAACAAGCACGGUGUGUGCACUCUGUACAUCGGAAACCAGAGCCUGAAGUUGAACUUGGGUCCUUUCCAGCAUCACAAGACACAGAAGUCCUGGGGCAGCAGGGACACUUUUGACACCUCCCACCUGUAUGUCCACCUCAGGCUGUGCCCUCCAUGCCUUUCCUGCCCCAGACUCCAGGAACUUGCCCAACUCUCUGCCACAUUCCUGGCAUGGCUGUUGCAGAACUUCCGGUGGCCUUGUAAGAACAGGAUCACUCUUUGGCCACCUGGCCCUUGGAAUUCCAACAUUGCUCUGUGAAAGCUGGGGAGACUGACACCUACAGAACAAAGCUACCUGAUACUAAGGGGCUGGCCUCAAAUCCACUAUGCAGCCAGGGAUGACUGAACCUCUGACCUCCAGCCCCAGCUCCUGAGUGCUGUUUUAUGAGGUAUGAGGAAUCAAACCCAGGACUUCAUGCAUGUGAGCACUCUGUCAACUGAGUUAUACCCCAGGCCCUCAUUUAUUUUUUUUCAGCUAGAUCUCACUCUUUGGCUCAGGAUAGUUUCGAACUUGAGAUCAUUCUGCCUCUGCCACCCAAAACGCUGCCGUUCCUGGCCUGUGCCACUAGUCCCAGAAGAUCACUGCUGUUUAACUCGGUUGUUCUGGUGGUGUGUGUGUAGGAUUUGAUCACACCUGGCGUGCUCCUCUUUACACUUCUGGCUUCUCACACUGGGACCCUUUGGAGACUUUGUCUUCCUCCCCCUCCUCCCUCUACACCACACAGGACACAGCCCAUGCUAAGCUUCCUGCACAUGUGAUCAAGGUCUGGGCCUCUUUCUCAGCUCUGGUCCAGAGCUGGUGAGCAAGGCUUCAGGACCAAGGCCCCUGCAGAGCCCUUAUCAUCCAGCCCCACACAUCCCAGAGAGCCUGGGAUGGGCAGCCCACCCUGAUCCCAGCCCCACACAAACCCUGUUAUCAGGGGACACAUUCCAACCCAUGCUCUGUCCUCUUGCACUGGGUAAGAUAGAGCCUGUUGUCUUCCGGCCAAGUGGGAAGGGGCACAGGAAAGCAGAGGUUAUCUCAGCAGGAAGCCACACUGCUGGGCUGUUUCUUCAACCAGCUUGAGAAAACACCUUGGGGCUGCCCUUUUGGGCCAGCCUCAGCCAGAAGGUAGCUGGCUUGGGACCCCUGCUGGGGCUGAGGUCAGGAGGCUAUGUGUCUGUUCCCAGGAACCAGGAGGUGGCUUCCCUGACCUGGGGAGGCUCCUGAACACUUUUCUCCGGGCCUGGCUUGUCCCUACACCCAGGAAGCACGUGGUCUGUGGGAGGGUCCUCAGCACAGCUAGUGAAGGUGCAGAGCAGGGCUGCUUAGUGGAAAGUUUAGAGUCAUGAAUCAGAGCCUCAAUUUUAUCAUACUUUUCUUUUCUUUUGACAGGGUCUCUCAUUUGUUGUUCUUGCUGUCCUGGAGCUUGCUCUAUAGACCAGGCUGGCCUCCAACUCUCAGAGAGGCACCUGCCUCUGCCUCUGCCUCCCAAGUGCUGGAAUAAAAGGCAUAUGCCACUAUGCUGAGCUUCAGUUUUCUUAAACUUAAGUUAUGAACAAUGGACGAUCAUGUCUUAGGUAUCAGUGUCUUGAGGGGCUUAGUAUAGAGUCUGGUACCUAGGCUGGAUGUGGAGGCACAAACCUAUAAUCCCAACACUUGGGAGGCAGAGGUGGGUUCCUCUCUGUGAGUUAGAGGUCAGCCUGGUCUACACAUAACAAGUUUAGGAUAUCCAGGGAGACAGAGUGAGACCCUGUCUUGGGGGAUGGUGGGAGAGGGAGCUGGGUGUGUUGAUGCACAGCUAUAAUCUGAGCACUUAAGAGAUUUGAAGAAAAAUCUCAAAUUUUUGAGAUGGUGGUGGCGCAUGCCUUUAA